AAAAUAAAAAUCAUUAUAAGUGAAAAAAAAAGAUAGUAACAGAUUUUUUAAGUUAAUUUUCAAGGGGGAAAAAAGUGAGAGGCCAUUUAUAUGAUUUCAUCAUUUCUUCAUCCUGCAAAUGCUUCCUGAGCUCAAUGUGUACCAGGCUCUGUGCUGUUGCUGGGGUUAUAAAGAUGAAUGCAGCACUGCUGUCACUAGGAAGAGAAACACAAGGCCAAAGAAAGAAAGACUGUCACUUAGGUGAAAGGAACCAGAAGAGGGUGGGCACUUGGAAGCCGCUGGUAGAAGGAAGUUUGAAAAAGUGGAGUGAAAAUGGCAAGCGCUGCCAGGAGGUCACCAGGUGUUUCAUUUGGGAAGUAAGCAAAGUUCUUUGUUCUCCAGUAAUCUUGGACUGACUUGAAAAGGGCUAUGAUUAAGUUAGACUUGUUGUAUGCACAGCCUGGGAGUAAGGGUCCCUUAACAGCAGGAGGAAAAGGACAUGGGGGGUGGGGAGCAUCUCUAAACUCGCCUAAAUAUGCAUCUAGAAAAUCAAAUGCACAAAGCAGAGGCUGAGGGAUUGCUGACAGGGAAACCCAGGCCCAGAGUGGAGAGCUGGUUUGGUGGACAACGCCAGCUGUGAGAAAACUGCAGCACAGGGAGUAAACGCCCUGCCCAAAUUCCCACAAAAAGAGACAGAGAUCUUAAUCGCUACACUGUCCCAUGUGUCCACCCAGCUAAGAGGGACUCAACACCAGCAACAAACAGAGCAGCUGGCUCGACCCAACCAUCAUGUGAAGAUGGCAGAUGAAACUGGGCAUCCCAGGACCACAUCCUUGGAUGACUCCUUGAGGGAGAGAGUCAGAAGAAAGUGUGACCAGAGACUUUGAGGAGGCAUGUGCAUGGGAAAUCAGGGAAGAUGUGAUGAUGGAGAAGAAAGAGCACAUUGAAUUAAGAAGAUUCUGCUUCCCACCAGCCAUGUGAUUGUAGACCAUCUAUUUCAGCUUUCCAAAACACCAUUAUAUGACCUGUACCACAGGGACUAUAUUAUGGGGAUUAAAUGAUAUGAUGAAUAUAAAAGCCAUGGGUGCACUGCCUCUUUUUUUUUUUUUUUUUUUGUCUUAUUUAGGACCACACCUAUAUCAAGGUUUGCAGGCUAGGAGCUGAAUCAGAGCUGUAGCUGCUGGGCUACACCAC